rnacentral:rRNA from 1 species
GACGAACGCUGGCGGCGUGCUUAACACAUGCAAGUCGAACGCUGAAGGCCUGGCUUUUGUUGGGUUGGAUGAGUGGCGAACGGGUGAGUAACACGUGAGUAACCUGCCCUCUUCUUUGGGAUAACGCCCGGAAACGGGUGCUAAUACCGGAUAUUCACUGAUCUUCGCAUGGGGGUUGGUGGAAAGGUUUGUUCUGGUGGGGGAUGGGCUCGCGGCCUAUCAGCUUGUUGGUGGGGUGAUGGCCUACCAAGGCUUUGACGGGUAGCCGGCCUGAGAGGGUGACCGGUCACAUUGGGACUGAGAUACGGCCCAGACUCCUACGGGAGGCAGCAGUGGGGAAUAUUGCACAAUGGGCGAAAGCCUGAUGCAGCGACGCCGCGUGAGGGAUGGAGGCCUUCGGGUUGUAAACCUCUUUCGCUCAUGGUCAAGCCGCAACUGUGGGUUGUGGUGAGGGUAGUGGGUAAAGAAGCGCCGGCUAACUACGUG